rnacentral:rRNA from 16 species
GAAAAGAAAUCAACCGAGAUUCCCCCAGUAGCGGCGAGCGAACGGGGAGCAGCCCAGAGCCUGAAUCAGUUUGUGUGUUAGUGGAAGCGUCUGGAAAGUCGCAGGGUACAGGGUGAUACUCCCGUACACAAAAACACACAUGCUGUGAGCUCGAUGAGUAAGGCGGGACACGUGGUAUCCUGUCUGAAUAUGGGGGGACCAUC